CAUCUACUCCCUCCGUCCGGAAAUACUUGUCACAGAAAUGCAUAAAAAUGGAUGUAUCUAGAACUAAAAUAUGUCUAGGUACAUCCAUUCCUCUGACAAGUAUUUCCGGACAGAGGGAGUACUUU
rnacentral:pre_miRNA from 1 species